rnacentral:tRNA from 1 species
GACAGUUUGGCCGAGCGGUCCAAGGCGUCAGCUUCAGGCGCUGGUCCGAAAGGGCGCGGGUUCGAAUCCCGCAGCUGUUA